GGGAAUCUUCCGCAAUGGACGAAAGUCUGACGGAGCAACGCCGCGUGAGUGAUGAAGGCGUUCGGGUCGUAAAACUCUGUUGUUAGGGAAGAACAAGUACGAGAGUAACUGCUCGUACCUUGACGGUACCUAACCAGAAAGCCACGGCUAACUACGUGCCAGCAGCCGCGGUAAUACGUAGGUGGCAAGCGUUAUCCGGAAUUAUUGGGCGUAAAGCGCGCGCAGGCGGUUUCUUAAGUCUGAUGUGAAAGCCCACGGCUCAACCGUGGAGGGUCAUUGGAAACUGGGGAACUUGAGUGCAGAAGAGAAAAGCGGAAUUCCACGUGUAGCGGUGAAAUGCGUAGAGAUGUGGAGGAACACCAGUGGCGAAGGCGGCUUUUUGGUCUGUAACUGACGCUGAGGCGCGAAAGCGUGGGGAGCAAACAGGAUUAGAUACCCUGGUAGUCC
rnacentral:rRNA from 2 species